rnacentral:rRNA from 1 species
AUUGAACGCUGGCGGCAGGCCUAACACAUGCAAGUCGAACGGUAACAGGAAGCAGCUUGCUGCUUUGCUGACGAGUGGCGGACGGGUGAGUAAUGUCUGGGAAACUGCCCGAUGGAGGGGGAUAACUACUGGAAACGGUAGCUAAUACCGCAUAACGUCGCAAGACCAAAGAGGGGGACCUUAGGGCCUCUUGCCAUCGGAUGUGCCCAGAUGGGAUUAGCUAGUAGGUGGGGUAACGGCUCACCUAGGCGACGAUCCCUAGCUGGUCUGAGAGGAUGACCAGCCACACUGGAACUGAGACACGGUCCAGACUCCUACGGGAGGCAGCAGUGGGGAAUAUUGCACAAUGGGCGCAAGCCUGAUGCAGCCAUGCCGCGUGUAUGAAGAAGGACUUCGGGUUGUAAAGUACUUUCAGCGGGGAGGAAGGGAGUAAAGUUAAUACCUUUGCUCAUUGACGUUACCCGCAGAAGAAGCACCGGCUAACUCCGUG